rnacentral:rRNA from 1 species
CUAAAUCAGUUAAAACUUUCAACAACGGAUCUCUUGGUUCCGGCAUCGAUGAAGAACGCAGCGAAAUGCGAUAAGUAAUGUGAAUUGCAGAUUUCAGUGAAUCAUCGAGUCUUUGAACGCACAUUGCGCCCCCUGGUAUUCCGGGGGGCAUGCCUGUCC